UACGUAGGGUGCGAGCGUUGUCCGGAAUUAUUGGGCGUAAAGAGCUCGUAGGCGGCUUGUCACGUCGGGUGUGAAAGCCCCGGGGCUUAACCCCGGGUCUGCAUUCGAUACGGGCUAGCUAGAGUGUGGUAGGGGAGAUCGGAAUUCCUGGUGUAGCGGUGAAAUGCGCAGAUAUCAGGAGGAACACCGGUGGCGAAGGCGGAUCUCUGGGCCAUUACUGACGCUGAGGAGCGAAAGCGUGGGGAGCGAACAGG
rnacentral:rRNA from 1 species